ACCCGUGUGGCCUAAUGGACUGGGUCUGCCUCCUAAGUAGAAGGGUGCGGGUUCGGGUCCCGCUGCGGGUG
rnacentral:tRNA from 1 species